rnacentral:rRNA from 1 species
CGACGUCGCGUGUGGGAUGAAGCCUUCGGGCGUAAACCACUUUUAUCGGGAAAGAAAAAAAUAGACGGUACCCGAUGAAUAAGCCCCGGCUAACUACGUGC